UGGGGGAUAUUGCACAAUGGGCGAAAGCCUGAUGCAGCGACGCCGCGUGGGGGAUGAAGGCUUUCGGGUUGUAAACCUCUUUCGCUAUCGAACAAGGCCCGCUUAGGGUGGGUUGAGGGUAGGUGGAGAAGAAGCGCCGGCUAACUACGUGCCAGCAGCCGCGGUAAUACGUAGGGCGCGAGCGUUGUCCGGAAUUAUUGGGCGUAAAGGGCUUGUAGGCGGCUUGUUGCGCCUGCUGUGAAAACGCGGGGCUUAACUUCGCGCGUGCAGUGGGUACGGGCAGGCUUGAGUGUGGUAGGGGUGAUUGGAAUUCCAGGUGUAGCGGUGGAAUGCGCAGAUAUCUGGAGGAACACCGAUGGCGAAGGCAGGUCACUGGGCCAUUACUGACGCUGAGGAGCGAAAGCAUGGGUAGCGAACAGG
rnacentral:rRNA from 1 species